rnacentral:rRNA from 1 species
AAUAGCAGCCUAAAUACCCUGAGAACACAGAUCCCAUCUGAUCUUAGAAUUGAAGCAGGGUUAGUCCUGGUUAGUACUGCCAAUGAAACUAGGUGCUGUAGGCU